CUUUUAUAAAAAUAAAAUCAAAAUGAAUAGAGAAACAGACCUCAUGUCCAAGGGCCACUUCACAGCCCACUACAGAAGCCUAACAAGUUUUCGAUAACAACAUUGAGAAAUAGAUAAAGAGAAAACAAAAUUAAAGAAAAAACAAAGCAUUAAAACCCCACUUUCUCGAGAAAGCCAUCAUCCGUCCUAUCAUCUGUCCAGCCAUAAUUACCUGACGGUUUAACUUUCCCAAAACCCUUUUGCCGUCCAAAAUGCUCCCCUUGUUGUUUCCAGAUAUUCAUUUCCUCCAAAAAAACCAUUUCUUCUCCGAUGUUUUGAAUCCCAGGGAGCAAACAUUGCCUUUCUUCAAAGACUUCAGUCUGGUUCUCUGAUCCAAUCGUCUUCUAGUGCUUUAACUGCAUAUAUUGGCACUAAUCCUUCCAGGUAAAACUCUUCCCUUUUCUUCAAGCUUUUAGUUGCUAUAGUGUCUGCCAGAUUGUUUGCUUUACGACGAACAUGUUGGAAUUUGAGUAAUCUAAACUUGCUCUGCAAAGCCUUUAUGUCUUGGAUAAUAGAACAUAUUUUUUAUUUGUCUCUAAAGUCUGAAAUGCAUUUCUUAAUGACUGAUAUCGAGUCCCUUUCAAUAUGGAUUUUAUGGUCUUUUAGUUGUAACCCUAGUUUUACUGCCUCUAAACAUGCAUGUACUUUUGCUGCGAAAGUCGAACCGACGUUCUCAUGGAUGGUUGCUUUUGAGGCGAUCACUUUGCCCCUUCCAUCUUGAGCAACCACUCCCAAUCCUACUCUGAAGAAAUCCUUAUUAAAGUCGGCAUCAAAAUUGAUUUUUAUAUCCUCUCAAGAAGAAGGAACCCACGUUUCUUUGAUUAUCUCCUUGUUAAGUCAUUUAUCCUCUAAGCAGUCCAACUCUUUUAUAUAUCUAUGAAUGAAAAAAUCCAUAUCCUUACUCGAUUUGUUUAUUUGUUCAUGCACAUAUUUGUUCCUCUCCGUCCAUAAGACCCAAAGGGAGAUACAGAUCACUUGCCUCUAGGAAUUUGGACAAUUAUCAAAAGCCCAAGUAAGCGAUUCAAACCAGUCUUAAAUAUUAUUUGGUAUUAGCCACUGUAAAUUCUCUAAUCUCCAUACUUCUAUUGCAACAAGGUAGAUAAGGAUGACAUGUGGUGCGUUUUCUACCUCUUUCCCACAUCGUGGAUACUCUAUGUUUGUUACCAGUCUCUUAAAAUGAAGGUUUCCUUAGUUAGGAUAAAGUUUUUUUAGAUGCGCCAUACUGUAAUUUGAACUUUAGGUAGGACUUUUAAAUUCCAUAGUGUUCGAUAGAAAUCUCUUGAAAUGAGUUGUAAUGUAUUUAAAGUAGGAGUAGGAAUACCCAUCUGUAAUAGUUUGUAGGCACUGUGCAUCGAGAACACUCCUGAUGGCUCACCCCUCCAAGCUAGAUCAUCUUCAUAAGAAAUUACUGCCAGUGUGAUUUGAAGGAUCCUUUCCGCAUCAAAGGUAUUAGAAAUUAUCUCUUCUCUCCAUUCUCUUUUAUUAUUAUCAAUGAGCUCAACAAAAUACUCCAAAUUGCAAUUAUCAACUGGAUGACUUAUCCCGUAAUUAUCAAAACCUGGUAACCAUGCAUGAUUAAAAAUAGAAACAUUAUCACCCUUUUCCACCCUCCAACACGUGCCUUCCUGAUGCAUUUUUCUCGUCGCCCAUAUAUUAUUCCACGUGUGGGAAGCAUUAUGUUUUAAACUUGCUUGUAAAAAUUUCGAAUUGGGGUCAUAUUUUGCUUUUAAAACUUUUGCCGGU
rnacentral:lncRNA from 1 species